rnacentral:rRNA from 1 species
ACGGGACCCGCACAAGCGUGGAUGAUGUGGUUUAAUUCGAUGCAACGCGAAAACCUUACCCACCUUUGACAUGUACGGAAUCCUUUAGAGAUAGAGGAGUGCUCGAAAGAGAGCCGUAACACAGGUGCUGCAUGGCUGUCGUCAGCUCGUGUCGUGAGAUGUUGGGUUAAGUCCCGCAACGAGCGCAACCCUUGUCAUUAGUUGCCAUCAUUUGGUUGGGCACUCUAAUGAGACUGCCGGUGACAAACCGGAGGAAGGUGGGGAUGACGUCAAGUCCUCAUGGCCCUUAUGGGUAGGGCUUCACACAUCAUACAAUGGUCGGCACAGAGGGUUGCCAACCCGCGAGGGGAAGCUAAUCCCACAAAGCCGAUCGUAGUCCGGAUCGCAGUCUGCAACUCGACUGCGUGAAGUCGGAAUCGCUAGUAAUCGUGGAUCAGCAUGUCACGGUGAAUACGUUCCCGGGUCUU